CCAAGAGGGAGGGGCAAUUGAAGUAGUUUGCCCCGGGCAUCACAGUAUAUGGGGCAUCACAUAUGUCUUAAAAAAAAUUAUUUAAAUGAUAAAAAAUUUAGCUGAUAACAUAUUUAAAGUAUAAGCAAUUUUUGUGUAUAAAUUUCGUUUUCCUUUUAAACUUUGUUCACAUUUAAAAUAGGAUAAUUAUUACUUUAGAAGGUUUUCAUUUUCCAUUUGAACGCUCACGUUUUUAUUGGCCUUUUGUUUGCAUAAUAAAGUAAAUAUUAUUUUCUUUUUAAACGGCAUGUAGAAGUUCUUUUGGACUUGGAGAUGAAACAAAGCAAUGAAAAUUUUAUAAUGCAUUCUUUAUGUCGCAAUUUUUCUGGCUUCAACAAAUUUAGCUUUUAGGAAAUCCAAUCAAAAAUUGUUCAAAAAUGGGAAUGGAAACUUGGAGCUUAUUGUUAAGCAAGGCUACGACAAUGGCGCUAAUAUAGCAGGUAUUCACAAUGGAGUUCAAGCUUUGAUUAGGCAGAAUAGCAGAAUAAUCUACAAGCAUUUUUCAUUCCUUGCUCCGCUCGCAGUUUGAACUUGUGUGCAAUACACGCUAUUGAAUUAUUGGCUCCUG